AACAUCCAUAGGACAAAGUGGUGAAUAAAACGAACAAACCCAUAAUCCCAGGCCUCAUAGAGUCCAUGGUCUAGUGGGUAGGGAGACAUGAAUGAAUAAAAAACCCUGAUGAUUUAAUCAGAAUUGUGAUGAGCGCAAUGAGGGAGAAUUUGUAAAGUAAGGCCCACCCAGAUCAGAAGGCUCCAGAAAGCUUCAGCAAAGAAGGAAUGUAGACUGUGGUCCGGUGCCUGCCACACAAAGCUACUAGAGGAUGUGCUCCAUCAAAAUGAGAGAGUAAACCAAGAAAGUGGAAAACAGAGAAUCCAGGAAACAGGGGAUGCAACAGAAGAAAGAGGUGGUCGAUUAUAUGAUGUUUAAGCUGAAACAUCAAGAUAAAACUAAAAGAGUUGAAGGUGGCUGCCUCUGGGACAAGGGAUCAGCACCAGAGGGAGAUGACCUCAGCAAAGGACAUCGAACCUGUGGGAGCACCUGUGAGGCCAGAAGUCCUCUGCCCUCUACCCUCACCCUCCCCAGCUAUCACACUGCGGUGGCAGACAGGGCCCUGUGAGCGGCAGGUGCACCUGUUUUUAAGAAGCAACGGAUGGGAUUAUAGUUCCGUGGAACACAUUUUGGGAAACACUGGCCAAGUAUCUCAAGCACCUGAGGGCUUGGCCAUCCCUAGCACCUGUCUGCAAUAUGCUUGGCAAGAACACACAUCUGUGAGCUUCUUUGCUCCCCAAACCCCCACCUAGCUAGUGGUUUAUGGUUUUUGCAAAAAGGUGUCUGUCUUUCAUUAAUUUUCUUAGA